rnacentral:rRNA from 1 species
AUGAACGCUAGCGACAGGCCUAACACAUGCAAGUCAGGGGCAGCACAAGGAGCAAUCUGAGGUGGCGACCGGCGCGCGGGUGAGUAACACGUAUGCAACCUGCCUGUAAGCGGGGAAUAACCCGUUGAAAGACGGACUAAUACCGCAUAAUACUAAAUUACUGCAUGGUAAUUUAUUUAAACAUUUAUGGCUUACAGAUGGGCAUGCGCAUGAUUAGCUAGUUGGAGAGGUAACGGCUCCCCAAGGCAACGAUCAUUAGGGGUUCUGAGAGGAAGGUCCCCCACACUGGUACUGAGACACGGACCAGACUCCUACGGGAGGCAGCAGUGAGGAAUAUUGGUCAAUGGACGAGAGUCUGAACCAGCCAAGUCGCGUGCAGGAAGAAUGUCCCUAUGGAUUGUAAACUGCUUUUGCAGGGGAAUAAAGUGCAUCACGUGUGAUGUUUUGUAUGUACUCUGCGAAUAAGGAUCGGCUAACUCCGUGCCAGCAGCCGC